GAUGAACGCUGGCGGCGUGCCUAAUACAUGCAAGUCGAGCGAACGGACGAGAAGCUUGCUUCUCUGAUGUUAGCGGCGGACGGGUGAGUAACACGUGGAUAACCUACCUAUAAGACUGGGAUAACUUCGGGAAACCGGAGCUAAUACCGGAUAAUAUUUUGAACCGCAUGGUUCAAAAGUGAAAGACGGUCUUGCUGUCACUUAUAGAUGGAUCCGCGCUGCAUUAGCUAGUUGGUAAGGUAACGGCUUACCAAGGCAACGAUGCAUAGCCGACCUGAGAGGGUGAUCGCCCACACGGGAACUGACACACGGCCCAGACCCCUACGGGAGGCAGCAGUAGGGAUUCUUCCGCAAUGGGCGAAAGCCUGACGGAGCAACGCCGCGUGAGUGAUAAAGGUCUUCGGAUCGUAAAACUCUUUUAUUAGGGAAGAACAUAUGUGUAAGUAACUGUGCACAUCUUGACGGUACCUAAUCAGAAAGCCACGGCUAACUACGUG
rnacentral:rRNA from 1 species